AGCGAACGCUGGCGGCAGGCUUAACACAUGCAAGUCGAACGGGCAUCUUCGGAUGUCAGUGGCAGACGGGUGAGUAACACGUGGGAACGUACCCUUCGGUUCGGAAUAACUCAGGGAAACUUGAGCUAAUACCGGAUACGCCCUUAUGGGGAAAGGUUUACUGCCGAAGGAUCGGCCCGCGUCUGAUUAGCUUGUUGGUGGGGUAACGGCCUACCAAGGCGACGAUCAGUAGCUGGUCUGAGAGGAUGAUCAGCCACACUGGGACUGAGACACGGCCCAGACUCCUACGGGAGGCAGCAGUGGGGAAUAUUGGACAAUGGGCGCAAGCCUGAUCCAGCCAUGCCGCGUGAGUGAUGAAGGCCUUAGGGUUGUAAAGCUCUUUUGUCCGGGACGAUAAUGACGGUACCGGAAGAAUAAGCCCCGGCUAACUUCGUG
rnacentral:rRNA from 1 species